GACGAACGCUGGCGGCGUGCUUAACACAUGCAAGUCGAACGGAAAGGCCCUGCUUUUGUGGGGUGCUCGAGUGGCGAACGGGUGAGUAACACGUGAGUAACCUGCCCUUGACUUUGGGAUAACUUCAGGAAACUGGGGCUAAUACCGGAUAGGAGCUCCUGCUGCAUGGUGGGGGUUGGAAAGUUUCGGCGGUUGGGGAUGGACUCGCGGCUUAUCAGCUUGUUGGUGGGGUAGUGGCUUACCAAGGCUUUGACGGGUAGCCGGCCUGGGAGGGUGACCGGCCACAUUGGGACUGAGAUACGGCCCAGACUCCUACGGGAGGCAGCAGUGGGGAAUAUUGCACAAUGGGCGGAAGCCUGAUGCAGCAACGCCGCGUGCGGGAUGACGGCCUUCGGGUUGUAAACCGCUUUCGCCUGUUACGAAGCGUGAGUGACGGUAAUGGGUAAAGAAGCACCGGCUAACUACGUG
rnacentral:rRNA from 1 species